GAGUGAGCUGUGUGUGUGUGUGGGUGGGUGUGUGUGUGCGCGCGCGCAUUUAUUACUAUUAAUUCUAAGGUCAGUGCUAGGGCCUUGCUAACAGGACCGAAAAUGGUCUUUUUACCUCGCCCCUCGCUCUGUAAGUUCUCGACUGGAUCGCUCCAUUACUCAGCCUGGGCGUGUCUCCUGACCCUUGCUUGGGUUUAUGUCAUACUCCAGUAUUCCGGGGCCGUUCUAACCAGAGUGGCAGAAGAGGAGCCUUCGUUAAGUGACUUUAGUAGGCGGUGUUCU
rnacentral:lncRNA from 1 species